CGUAACAAGGUUUCCGUAGGUGAACCUGCGGAAGGAUCAUUACCGAGAGUUGUAGGCUUCUGUCUACCAUCUCUUACCCAUGUCUUUUGCGUACUUAACGUUUCCUCGGCAGGUCCGCCUGCCGUAGGACAAUUAUAAACCAUUUGCAGUUGCAGUCAGCGUCUGAAAAACAUAAUAAUUACAACUUUUAACAACGGAUCUCUUGGUUCUGGCAUCGAUGAAGAACGCAGCGAAAUGCGAUAAGUAGUGUGAAUUGCAGAAUUCAGUGAAUCAUCGAAUCUUUGAACGCACAUUGCGCCCCUUGGUAUUCCAUGGGGCAUGCCUGUUCGAGCGUCAUUUGUACCUUCAAGCUCUGCUUGGUGUUGGGUGUUUGUCCCGCCUUUGUGCGCGGACUCGCCUUAAAGCAAUUGGCAGCCGGCGUAUAGAUUUCGGAGCGCAGCACAAUCCGCGCUUUGUACUCAUUACGACGACAUCCAUCAAGACAUUUUUUAACUCUUGACCUCGGAUCAGGUAGGGAUACCCGCUGAACUUAAGCAUAUCAAUAA
rnacentral:misc_RNA from 1 species